rnacentral:rRNA from 1 species
GAUAUGCGUCCCAGUACAGUGCUAGCACUGAGGGAAUCGCCACUGACUGAACCGCUCUAGUCUACGGAGGCACGUAGGAAUCUCGCAUGACGAGUCGACGAGCACGCCGCGUGAGUGAUGAGACUUCGGGUCGUAAACUUCUGUUGUUAGAGACCAGUGCCUAGUUGAUUAGGCUGCACCUGACGGGUACCUAUCCAGAAAGCCACGGCUAAUUACGUGCCCAGCAGCCGCGGUAAUACGUAGGUGGCCAAGCGGUUAUCCGGGAAUAUUGGCCGUAAAGCGCGGCGCCAGGGUGCUUCUAAAGUCGAUGGGAAAGCCCCCGGCUCAACCGUGGGAGGGUCCAUUGGAAACUGGGAGGAUCUUGAGUGCAGAAAGAGGAAAGUGGAAUUCCCAUGUGUAAGCGGGUGAAAUGCGGUGGAGAUAUGGAGGAACACCCCGGGGCGAAGGGGACUUUUUUGUUCUGUAACUGACACUGGGGGCGGGAAAGGCGUGGGGAGCAACCCGGAUUAGGUUCCCUGGUAGUCCCCCCCGUAAACGAUGAGUUGUAAGUUUUAGGGGGUUUCCCCCCUUUAGUUGUGAAGUUAACCCCUUAAGCCCUCCCCCUGGGGAGUACGGCCGCAAAGCUGAAACUCAAAGGAAUUGACGGGGGCCCCCCCAAGCGGUGGAGCAUGUGGUUUAAUUUGAAGCAACCGGAAAAACCUUCCCCGGUCUUGACAUCCUUUGACAACCCUAGAGAUAGGGGUUUUCCUUCGGGAGCAGAGGGACCAGUGGUGCAUGGGUGUUGUCCAGUUGUGUCGUGAGGUGGUGGGGUAAAUUCCCCAACGAGGGCCACCCCUGAUUUUUAUUUCCCUCCAUUAAGUGGGCCAUUUAAAGUGGCUGCCCGGGGCCAACCCGGGGAAAGGGGGGGAGGCGUCAAAUUCUCCUUCCCCCUUUGACCUGGGGUACCCCCCUGGUUCAAAUGGCGGUACAAAGAGGUGCAAGACCCCGAGGGGGGAGUAAUUUCAUAAAACCCUUUUCCAUUUGGGAUGUUGGGUUCAAAUUGCCUACCAGAAAGCGGGAUUCGUUGUUAUUCCGGGUCCACCAUCCCCGGGUAAAACCUUUCCCGGCCCUGUUCCCCCCCCCCCUCCCAACCCCGGAGUUUUUACCCCCGAAGUCCGGGGGGUUACCCUUUUGGAGCCAGCCGCCUAAGGGGACAGAGGU